rnacentral:rRNA from 1 species
AAUGAACGCUGGCGGCAUGCCUUACACAUGCAAGUCGAACGGCAGCAUGACCUAGCUUGCUAGGUUGAUGGCGAGUGGCGAACGGGUGAGUAAUGCAUCGGAACGUGCCUUUUAGUGGGGGAUAACGUAGCGAAAGUUACGCUAAUACCGCAUAUUCUCUGAGGAGGAAAGCAGGGGACCUUCGGGCCUUGCGCUAGAAGAGCGGCCGAUGUCGGAUUAGCUAGUUGGUGAGGUAAAGGCUCACCAAGGCAACGAUCCGUAGCGGGUCUGAGAGGAUGAUCCGCCACACGGGGACUGAGACACGGCCCAGACUCCUACGGGAGGCAGCAGUGGGGAAUUUUGGACAAUGGGCGCAAGCCUGAUCCAGCCAUGCCGCGUGAGUGAAGAAGGCCUUCGGGUUGUAAAGCUCUUUCGGCUGGGAAGAAAUCGCACCCUCUAAUACAGGGUGUGGAUGACGGUACCAGCAUAAGAAGCACCGGCUAACUACGUG